rnacentral:rRNA from 1 species
GAUGAACGCUGGCGGCGUGCCUAAUACAUGCAAGUCGAGCGAACGGACGAGAAGCUUGCUUCUCUGAUGUUAGCGGCGGACGGGUGAGUAACACGUGGAUAAACUACCUAUAAGACUGGGAUAACUUCGGGAAACCGGAGCUAAUACCGGAUGAUAUUUUGAACCGCAUGGUUCAAAAGUGAAAGACGGUCUUGCUGUCACUUAUAGAUGGACCCGCGCUGCAUUAGCUAGUUGGUAAGGUAACGGCUUACCAAGGCAACGAUGCAUAGCCGACCUGAGAGGGUGAUCGGCCACACUGGAACUGAGACACGGUCCAGACUCCUACAGGAGGCAGCAGUAGGGAAUCUUCCGCAAUGGGCGAAAGCCUGACGGAGCAACGCCGCGUGAGUGAUGAAGGUCUUCGGAUCGUAAAACUCUGUUAUUAGGGAAGAACAUAUGUGUAAGUACCUGUGCACAUCUUGACGGUACCGAGUCAGAAAGCCACGGCUAACUCCGUG